rnacentral:rRNA from 1 species
AGAGUUUGUAUCCUGACUCAGGACGAACGCUGGCGGCGUGCUUAACACAUGCAAGUCGAACGAGAUCCAUUCAGUAGCAAUACUGAUGAAGAUCUAGUGGCGAACGGGUGCGUAACACGUGAGGAACUUGUCCCGGUCUCUGGGAUAACAAGUUGGAAACGACUGCUAAUACCGGAUGACGUCGGAACUUCGCAUGGAGUACUGACGAAAGGGUUACUGGAUCGGGAGAGCCUCGCGGCCUAUCAGCUUGUUGGUGGGGUAAUGGCCUACCAAGGCAUCGACGGGUAGCUGGUCUGAGAGGAUGAUCAGCCACACUGGGACUGAGACACGGCCCAGACUCCUACGGGAGGCAGCAGUGGGGAAUCCUGCACAAUGGGCGAAAGCCUGAUGCAGCAACGCCGCGUGCGGGAAGAAGGCCCUCGGGUUGUAAACCGCUUUCAGAAGGAACGAAACUGACGGUACUUUCAGAAGAAGGUGCGGCCAACUACGUG